rnacentral:rRNA from 1 species
UUGGAGGGCAAGUCUGGUGCCAGCAGCCGCGGUAAUUCCAGCUCCAAUAGCGUAUAUUAAAGUUGUUGCAGUUAAAAAGCUCGUAGUUGAAUUUCGGGGUCAGCAGGUUGGUCGUGCCACUGGUAUGAACUGGCCUUGCUGAUUCCUCCUUCUUGAAGAACCGUGAUGCCAUUAAUUUGGUGUUGCGGGGAAACAGGACUGUUACUUUGAAAAAAUUAGAGUGUUUAAAGCAGGCUCACGCUUGAAUACAUUAGCAUGGAAUAAUAAAAUAGGACGUUUAUCCUAUUUUGUUGGUUUCUAGGGUUGACGUAAUGAUUAAUAGGGAUAGUUGGGGGCAUUAGUAUUCAAUUGUCAGAGGUGAAAUUCUUGGAUUUAUUGAAGACUAACUACUGCGAAAGCAUUUGCCAAGGAUGUUUUCAUUAAUCAAGAACGAAAGUUAGGGGAUCGAAGACGAUCAGAUACCGUCGUAGUCUUAACCAUAAACUAUGCCGACUAGGGAUCGGAUGAUGUUAAUUUUUUAAUGACCCAUUCGGCGCCUUACGGGAAACA